UACAGAGGUGGCAAGCGUUGUUCGGAAUUACUGGGCGUAAAGGGCGCGUAGGCGGCCAUCUAAGUCAGACGUGAAAUCCCCAGGCUUAACUUGGGAACUGCGUCUGAUACUGGGAGGCUUGAGUGCGGGAGAGGGAUGUGGAAUUCCAGGUGUAGCGGUGAAAUGCGUAGAUAUCUGGAGGAACACCGGUGGCGAAGGCGGCAUCCUGGACCGACACUGACGCUGAGGCGCGAAAGCUAGGGGAGCAAACGGG
rnacentral:rRNA from 1 species